rnacentral:lncRNA from 1 species
AUGCUGGUCCCAGCAGAGUUCUUCUCCCUCAGGAAGGUGAGGUACUUCUUUUACAAAAAUCCAGUGGUUAUUCCUAUUGGAAGAGCAGAAGAUGGCCUUACCCUGAUGGAAAUCCUCCACAAUGUUGUCAUAUUCCUGGUGAGAUCCCUCAGGCAGCUUUUCAACCAGCACGCCAACGUGGGAGGGUACAAGCCCAGCUGGCAGGCCUUCCAGUUUGAGUUGGCCCUGGAGGAGUUUUUCUACGGACAUCCCCUGUGUCACACUGACUACCAGCUCACUGUAAGCCUGGGCACCAGCUCCACAAACCCCAACAGCCUGACAAAUGAGAGAGGUUUCCUUGGUCUUGCGCCGUACAACAGCGCAAGUGUCGGAGAGACCUCUCCUCCACUGCGACACUGGACCCGAGAUGACCUCCAGGUGACCAGGAUUGAAAGGCUGUUCCCUCUCUCAAACACCCUUGAAGCUGAGCCACCAGUUAUAGGAGCUGCAUUGGUGUUUGUCUUGCUGGGGGACCUCUACAAGAGGAAUGACAGACUCUCAAUACCAAUGCUGCAAGGCCCACAGUGUCCUGGCACCCUCAAGGGCCAUGUCACCCUUGAGAAGUUUUGCCAAGAGCUGGCCACCAGGGAUGCAUUCCCUCCUCCCUGCACCUUCCGACGCACCAGAGAGCUUAUCACCAGAGCUGGCAAGGAUGUGAAAACCUGUUUGGAGUCUGGAUUCAUUGAACAUAACAUCAGAUUCUUUGCUGAUGUGAAGUUCAGGGACACCAACAAAAGCAAGCGCAUCACAUGGAAUUUCAAGGAUUACGUGGAGGUCCAUCCUGAUGAUCAAGCGCCGUCCCUGGACAGCAGAGCUGCGUCCAUGGUAGGGGACAUUUGCAUUGAGAUUGAGAGGAGAGAUCUCACCUACCCCCGUAACACUGAGCGCUACAGGGAGCAUGGAAUGCCCUGGCUACUUGCCGUGAUGAGACGCCUGCCCGCCACUCUGGGGAAGGACAAGACAUUCAAGGUCCUGACAUUCAUCAGCUGUGUGGCCCUAGUCAUGAAUGGGGACUACAUCAGCUACCAACACCUGGCCACCUUGAUGAAGGAUAUGCAGAUGGCACAGUCCGAUCUCCAGAAACUGCAGAUCCAGUCACAGUUCCUCCUGCCAAAGGUAUACAAAAUGAGCAUCUGGAGGCUGCAUGACGCAAUACCUUGGAGGAUGGUUCUGAGGAGGAACCCGCCAGCUCUACCACCUCAAAAGAGGCCAGAGGAAGAGGUCAUUGAACAGCCGUAUGAAGAUGUUCAGGCAGUGGAUGAGGCAUAUCAACAUACUCCCUGCACCUCCAGGAGCAAGUUUCUGCCGGACACCAAGAGGACGGUUUGGUCUUCCAUGGAGAUGUCCUUCGUGAAUCUGGACACAGAGACAAACAUGGAAGAAGCUUAUAGGGACUACCUGGACAAAUGCAAGAGAGCUGACAUUCCAGCGAGGACCAAAACGUCCUUUAGGUUCAAACGGAAGAAGAUGACUGAAGAUGAUUAG